UACGGAGGGGACUAGCGUUGUUCGGAAUUACUGGGCGUAAAGCGCGCGUAGGCGGAUUUGCAAGUCGGGGGUGAAAUCCCGAGGCUCAACCUCGGAACUGCCUUCGAUACUGCAAAUCUCGAGUCCGGAAGAGGUGAGUGGAAUUCCUAGUGUAGAGGUGAAAUUCGUAGAUAUUAGGAAGAACACCAGUGGCGAAGGCGGCUCACUGGUCCGGUACUGACGCUGAGUCGCGAAUGCGUGGGGAGCAAUCAGG
rnacentral:rRNA from 1 species